rnacentral:tRNA from 1 species
GGUCUAUUAGGUUAAAUUAUUUAAACUUUCAGUUUGUGGUAUUGGAGAUUUGCUAUUUGAUAUUAGUAAUUAGGCUA